CCGAAAUAUUCGGUAGUAACAUAAGUGAGUUUCAGUGCAAGUGUGAACAUAAUCCCAUUUGAAGCAGUUAAUUACGACUUGUUGCGAACGACCGUUUAUUUGCGAGCAGUGCACCGAUGGUAGGAAUAUAACGUCGGCCAGCAAUGGAAGCACAUGUUACGGAGCGAAGAUUGAGGUUAUCCUCCGCGGGGUUCGCAAACCAACACGUGCCCUACCUUAACUCAUCCUCGUCCAUGGGCGCCGAUCGUCGAACGGGAUUCUGCGGGCCCGUAAUAGCGUCGUACGGGUAGCGGAGCGGCCACGUAACCCGGGAUAUGGAAGUCACGCUUCGCCACUGCGGAAUUAACGAAAGAAGCUCGCGGGGAGCUGCCCAUGAGGCGGGUCGACGGUUGGCGGCGUCGCGACGCCCGAUACUCUUGCACGCAUGCCCUGCCCCGCCGACGACCAAUCAAUGGUAUCGCGUGCGGCGCCCGCCGUCUAUUUUCUAACCGAUUUUAUUUAACCCCGUUUUACGCAACUGCGUUUUUCGAUGCGAUAAUCCGCGGGGUCGCGGAUGAGCGGCCGCGUGUCCGAUAGCAGGGAAUGAUCAAUUGCGCAGACACUUCGGAAAUUUCAAGAUAGGUAUAUACAUGGAGCGAGGGGAGAACUAGUUUUGAGGAACAACACCAGCCAGUUGAAUAGAUUGCCGAGGGAACGUGUCUGAUAAGACAACAAACCGUUUUUAUAGGCAGGAUGUGUCACCAGGCGUCAGGAAUGUUGAGCAAGCAAAAUGACUUCGCUCAAGUUUCGCACGAAUGGGAAUCGGAUUACGCGGUUCCAGUUUAAUUACGAAAUUGAACGACGGUAGACUGGUUUCUGUAUAGCUCCGUCGGUUCGGCUUACUUUUCAUUCCGUUGCGAACUUACUCCCACUACUCCCUCUUUCGACACAGCGUCGAAGAGGCUAAUCUCAAUUGAUGAAAUAUAUGGAAAAAUAAUAAUCCUACCUUUAAACAUCCUAGCUAAAGGUACGAACGAAUCGCUUCACGAUGCGCGGGAAAACAAAAAUUGUUACCGGAACGAAAAAUUAAAUUCCGGUACCGGGAAUCGAACCCGAGCCUCCUGGGUGAGAGCCAGGUAUCCUAGCCACUAGACCAUACCGGAUUUUCUUGAAGUAUGAGAUUCGAAAGUGUGGAAAAUUGGGCACGGAUUAUCGACAGUUCGAUAAUCAAUGCAUUAUUUAAAGAGCGUUAUUCCUAGCCACAAAGAUCAUACCGGAAUUCAGUGAAAUAUAUUUCUCCUAUGAGUGCGAGGUUCAUCAAAGAUUACCAUCAGUUUCAGUAAGUACAUUUUUCAAAAAUCGGUGUUCCUAGCCACCAAACCAUACCGGAAUUUUAACCCUCAGACAAACAGUAACAGUACCAUACCAGUCUAACACAGGGUUACUGCCGACCCACAUCUAUACACAAUUCAUACCACAAAGAGGAAAGAAAUGAAUUUAAAAAGUACAAAACUUAAACACACGUGUAACCUCUUACCUAGAUUCAAUGCAGAGUCAGAACUGCGUUGAAGCACAAUUGCGACUGUUACUAAAGAAAAAAAGAAACAAUAGGAAAAUUUUCACUAACGUAAUAGCAGAGUUCUUCGUCGCUAGAUAACGUCUAUCUAGAUUACAUUAUUAUCGCAACUACGAUAGUUACAUAAGAGAGGUCAGGGCUGUUACGUCGAGCAAUGAUUCUUUCCGUGAAAGUGCAAUCAUCGGAGACUUUUCUUCCCGCUUUCCAAAAUGUUUCAAAGUCAUUACUCACGGCCAUGUACCGGAACGUUUCCGGCGGCGCAUU